rnacentral:lncRNA from 13 species
UCUACAAAAAAUCAUUUAAAAAUUACCUGGGCAUGGCUGCGGGCACCUGCGGUUCCAGCUACUCAGGAGGCUGAGAUGGGAGGAUCGCUGGAGCCCAGGAAUUUGAGGCUACAGUGAGCUAUGUUCGUGUCACUGCAUUCCAGCUUGGGCAACAGCGAGACCUGUCUCAAAACAAAACAAACAAAAACAGGCAGGCAAAGAGGCAAAGAAGCAGAAAAACAGAACCCAUAAUAAGUUGAAAAAUCACGAAGACCCAGAAAUGGCACAGAUGAGAUGAUGGAAUUAGUGAUCAGGAUGUUCAAACAGCUAUUGUGAAUAUUCCCCAUAUGUUCAAGAAGAAUGGAGAAUGAACGAGAGUGAGGGACCCGAAACGACUGUGUUCCAUGCUGAGGGUGGCAGAGGCUGGCCUGGAUGCUGGAUGAGGCUGGAUGAGGCUCAACUUGGGGGGCCUGGGCUGCUGCACUGGGGCUGGACUGGGGAUCACGGAAGAGUGCCAGGGCCGCGUGGGACUCCAGGGCCGUGUUCAAGGGCGUGGUCUUCUGCAUUGGGGGAGUGGCUGGUGAGUGGAGACUGCUGCGAUUCUGGGGGCGUGGCUGAUAAUGGGUGUGACUAUAUCCUAGGGGCGUGGCAAUUGCUUAGGGCUUGGGUGAGGCGUUAACAGUGGGUGGGCACGGCUCUGACUCGAGGGGAGUGGUCAGCACGCAGGGGCGUGGCUCGGGCUCGCGGAGUCGUCCGAGAUUCAGGGCAGCUCCCGGGCAGAAGUGUCCGGAUCUAACCGUCCCUGGGGAGUCGGAGACCCGUGGCCGGUUUGUGGGCUGACUCAGGGCUGCUAAGGAGACACAGGCGGACCGUGGGGGCAGCCGCCGGACCCACAGGCCAUGUGGCCUCCGCUGUUGCUGCUGCUGCUACUGCUCCCUUCCGCCCCGGUCCCCACCCUCAAGGCCGCUCCGCUCCUGGAUGCUAACACCCAGGAAGGCUUUCAGAACCUGCUCCAAGGAGUCCAGGCUGGCGGAGACAGAGAGCUGCGGGCAGUCUCAUACCUGGCCCCGGGCUCUGCCUGUAGUAAUGGAGCUGUGGUGGCCGUGCGACCCCCAAGCCAGGGAGGAAGACCUGCGGCUCCGUGAGAGGCGUCCAGGGCUGCAGGCCAAGGCGACAGGCUCCGGGGGACAUGGGGCUUCCCCUGUUCACUUCCAAGGAGGGUGGGCAUCAAUGCAUUGGCAGGGGAUGGCCCUGUGCCCUGCCAGGGUCUCCACCCCCAGCACCAUUUAUUAGAAAUAAUAAAGUUCUUUCUUAGCUAGUGGUGCUGUUUCUU